rnacentral:sRNA from 1 species
AGAGAGUUAAUUCCUAAUCAGGAUCUCAACAGUAGCGCACGGCUCUUUAAUUAGAGCCAUUCCCCUGGACCCAGAACAAUCGGAAUAGUUUUGGGUCUUUUUUU